GACGUAGGGGGCGAGCGUUGUCCGGAAUCAUUGGGCGUAAAGAGCGCGCAGGCGGCUCGGUAAGUCGGAUGUGAAAUCCCGAGGCUCAACCUCGGGUCUGCAUCCGAUACUGCCCGGCUAGAGGUAGGUAGGGGAGAUCGGAAUUCCUGGUGUAGCGGUGAAAUGCGCAGAUAUCAGGAGGAACACCGGUGGCGAAGGCGGAUCUCUGGGCCUUGCCUGACGCUCAGGCGCGAAAGCGAGGGGAGCGAACUGG
rnacentral:rRNA from 1 species